UACGUAGGCAGCGAGCGUUUGUUCGGAAUUACUGGGCGUAAAGAGUGUGUAGGCGGUGCUCUAAGUUCGGUGUGAAAUCUCCUGGCUCAACUGGGAGGGUGCGCCGGAACUGGAGUGCUUGAGCGUGGGAGAGGAAAGCGGAAUUCCUGGUGUAGCGGUGAAAUGCGUAGAUAUCAGGAGGAACACCUGUGGUGUAGACGGCUUUCUGGACCAUAGCUGACGCUGAGACACGAAAGCGUGGGUAGCAAACAGG
rnacentral:rRNA from 1 species